GACGAGCUCUCCAAACGUUAUUCGGUAUCACUGGGCUUAAAGAGUUCGUAGGCGGCUUUGUAGGUGGGGUGUGAAAGCCCUCGGCUUAACCGAGGAACUGCGCCCCAAACCACAAGGCUUGAGGGAUAUAGGGGUAAGCGGAACAGAUGGUGGAGCGGUGAAAUGCAUUGAUAUCAUCUGGAACACCGGUGGCGAAGGCGGCUUACUGGAUAUUUUCUGACGCUGAGGAACGAAAGCUAGGGUAGCGAACGGGAUUAGAUACCCCGGUAGUCCUAGCCGUAAACGAUGAACACUAGUCUGAAGGACUCUCACAGUCUUUCGGACGUAGCGAAAGUAUUAAGUGUUCCGCCUGGGGAGUAUGGUCGCAAGGCUG
rnacentral:rRNA from 1 species